rnacentral:rRNA from 1 species
UACAGAGGUCUCAAGCGUUGUUCGGAUUCAUUGGGCGUAAAGGGUGCGUAGGCGGGUCUUUAAGUCAGGGGUGAAAUCCUGGAGCUCAACUCCAGAACUGCCUUUGAUACUGAGAUCUUGAGUUCGGGAGAGGUGAGUGGAACUGCGAGUGUAGAGGUGAAAUUCGUAGAUAUUCGCAAGAACACCAGUGGCGAAGGCGGCUCACUGGCCCGGAUACUGACGCUGAGGUAGCGAAAGCGUGGGGAGCAAACAGGAUUAGAAUCACCGAGUACGUCC